AAGGAGGAUGCAAUUUUGCCCGUGAAUGCAUUUUCUCUAAAUGUGUUGGCUUCAUUCCUCCUUUGGUAAAGAAUAUCAACGGAUUUGCUAAUAGAACCUAGCCCAGGAACGUCCAGUGGUUUCAGAUCAAAUCGAAGCAACAAAGCUGCGUGAAACUGCCAAGUCUGCCUUGCAAGCUCCAAGCGUCUCAGCUGUCUGGUCCAGAGAUAACAUCAGAGCGCCCCCUGCUGGCCCGCAGAGUCGACCACGGCGAGUCAGCCCCCUGCGAAGCGAAUCGUAUUUUUCCGAGCCCUCCCCCGCCCUUUCUUGACUCCUUCCACCAUAUCCACCUUCGUUUUGCGGCAAAACGCCCCGGCAGGGGAAUAACUUGUCAAGGCUGAACAUUUAAAUGAA